AGGAUUAUAGUUUAUUUAAAACAUUUGAUUUGCAUUCAAAAAAUAUUAAUUUUA
rnacentral:tRNA from 3 species